ACUCCUCCUUCCAACGUUGUUCGGACUCUCAUGCCGCUGGCCGCUGUCCGAGUCGACCAUGCUGUGUCAUCCCUCCAGCCCAUGCCGAGGCCUGGUUCUCUGUUAGGGAUGCCGUCCCCCUGCCAGUGCGCCUGGGGAGGCGGUCGCCCACCCCGCGGAGGGUCGGGACCCUCACCCUGCCCCGCAAAGCGCCCUGUUCCUAGGAUCGCAGUGUGUGUGUGUGUGUGUGUGUGUGUGUGUGCGCGCUAAUUUGGGGGACCCGCACCCUGCCCCCCUCACCCUGCCCCGCAAGGCGUCCUCCUGGCUGUGGUGGCGGGCACCUGAAAUCCAAGCUACUCAGGAGACUGAGGCAGGAGAAUUGCUUGAGCCCAGGAAGCAGAGGUUUCAGUGAGCCAAGAUCACACCAUUGCAAUCCAGCCUGGGCAACAGAAGCGAAACUCUGUCUCAAAAAUAAAUAAAUAAAUAAGACAAGAACCCACUUGUUGCCAGGUACAGUGGCUUACACCUGUAAUCCCAGCACUUUGGGAGGCCGAGGUGGGAGGGUCAUGAGGUCAGGAGUUGGAGACCAGCCUGGCCAGUAUGGUGAAACAUCAAUAUGGUGAAACCCCAUCUCUACUAAAAAAAAUACAAAAAUUAGCAGGUGUGGUGGUGCAUGCCUGUAGUCCCAGCUACUCAGGAGGCUGAGGCCAGAGAAUCACUUGAACCCGGGAGGUGGAGGUUGCGGUGAGCCAAGAUUGCACCACUGCACUCCAGCCUGGGUGACAGAGUGAGACUCUGUCUCAAAACAAAGUCAAAAACAAAAAGAACCCACUUGUAACUGUUGCUAAUCAAAGCAUACAUUCAGGGCAACUUGAAUCUGUGUCUCCUGGACUGCGGUCCUCAACCUUGGCCCAAACUCUCUACUUAUAUUAACUUUGCCUCAGCUUCUUUUGUUACAUCAAUAGAGUAAUGAAGGUUUUUAACAGUCUUGAGUGCUUUAUCAGUACGUAUUCCAUAAGGAAAAGAGAAGUCCUUCUAGGUACUUCAAACAGAGGAUAUUGAAUACAGGGGAUUGAGCCAGGCUCUGUGGCUCACACUUGUAAUCCCAGCAAUCCAGUUGAGACAGGUAGAUUGAUACCAGCCUGGCCAACAUGGAGAAACCCCAUCUUUACUAAAAAUACAAAAAUUAACCCAGUGCAGUGGCAGGUGCCUGUAAUCCCAGCUACUCAGGAGGCUGAGGCAGGAGAAUUGCUUGAACCUGGGAGGGG
rnacentral:lncRNA from 1 species